UUGCAUUCCUUUAAGGAGUCAAAUCUGUUGCUUACAGUGUUUAUUACUUUUAAACAUAUGGGAGUACAGCUGAUAUCUGUCCACGUCUCCCUAGAGCUAGUAAACAGACUGGAACCAGCACCGCAGCGAUGUCUUCAUUGUGCUGUUGACCUUGCGCAGGCUCUCCAAGUUAAUUGGAUUUCCAGGUUUUGCAGCCAGUCACCACAAUUGAUCACGGAAAAGAUGGAUUUAUUGCUUACCAGGCAGAAUUCUGACACUCUUCAGAGGAUAGAAAA